rnacentral:rRNA from 1 species
GAUGAACGCUGACAGAAUGCUUAACACAUGCAAGUCAACUUGAACUUCGGUUUGGGUGGCGGACGGGUGAGUCACGCGUAAAGAACUUGCCUCACAGUUAGGGACAACAUUUGGAAACGAAUGCUAAUACCUGAUAUUAUGAUUUUAGGGCAUCCUAGAAUUAUGAAAGCUAUAUGCGCUGUGAGAGAGCUUUGCGUCCCAUUAGCUAGUUGGAGAGGUAACGGCUCACCAAGGCGAUGAUGGGUAGCCGGCCUGAGAGGGUGAACGGCCACAAGGGGACUGAGACACGGCCCUUACUCCUACGGGAGGCAGCAGUGGGGAAUAUUGGACAAUGGACCAAGAGUCUGAUCCAGCAAUUCUGUGUGCACGAUGAAGUUUUUCGGAAUGUAAAGUGCUUUCAGUUGGGAAGAAAAAAAUGACGAUACCAACAGAAGAAGUGACGGCUAAAUACGUG